UACGUAGGUGGCAAGCGUUGUCCGGAUUUAUUGGGCGUAAAGAGCUCGUAGGCGGCUUGUUACGUCGUUCGUGAAAACUUGGGGCUCAACCCCAAGCUUGCGGUCGAUACGGGCAGGCUAGAGUUCGGUAGGGGAGACUGGAAUUCCUGGUGUAGCGGUGAAAUGCGCAGAUAUCAGGAGGAACACCGGUGGCGAAGGCGGGUCUCUGGGCCGAUACUGACGCUGAGGAGCGAAAGCGUGGGGAGCGAACAGG
rnacentral:rRNA from 1 species